rnacentral:rRNA from 1 species
UACGUAGGGCGCAAGCGUUGUCCGGAAUUAUUGGGCGUAAAGAGCUCGUAGGCGGCUUGUCACGUCGAUUGUGAAAGCCCGAGGCUUAACCUCGGGUCUGCAGUCGAUGCGGGCUAGCUAGAGUGUGGUAGGGGAGAUCGGAAUUCCUGGUGUAGCGGUGAAAUGCGCAGAUAUCAGGAGGAACACCGGUGGCGAAGGCGGGUCUCUGGGCCGAUACUGACGCUGAGGUGCGAAAGCGUGGGGAGCAAACAGG